UACGUAGGGGGCAAGCGUUGUCCGGAAUCAUUGGGCGUAAAGAGCGCGUAGGCGGCCCUGUAAGUCCGCUGUGAAAGUCAAGGGCUCAACCUUUGAAAGCCGAUGGAUACUGCAGGGCUAGAGUCCGGAAGAGGCGAGUGGAAUUCCUGGUGUAGCGGUGGAAUGCGCAGAUAUCAGGAGGAACACCAAUAGCGAAGGCAGCUCGCUGGGACGGUACUGACGCUAAGGCGCGAAAGCGUGGGGAGCGAUCCGG
rnacentral:rRNA from 1 species